GAGCCAAACUCAGGAGGGCCCCUGUCACAGGACAGGUAUGUUCACAAUCUUUAUUCCUCACAAAAAGGGAGGAACCAUUGUUCCUAUUUUACGGAUAAGGAUCAUGAUUCUCAUCAAAUCCAGAAUACAAAAAGAAAACAGCCAAGAAUAGGCAAAUCCACAGAGACAGAAAGUAGAUUAGUGGUUGCCAGGGCUGAGGGUGUGAGAGAAUGGGGGGUCACUGCUAAAGGGUAAGGAGUUUCUUAUUGGGGGUGAUACGAAUGUCUUAAAAUUAGAUAGUAGUGAUGAUUGUACCACCUGGGUAUGUACUAAAUCUCACUAUACUGGCCACCUCAAAAGAGUGAAUUUUAAAGGUACAUGAAUUAUAUCUCAAUAAGGCUGAUACAAACAAGAAGGAAAGAAAGAAGGAAGGGAGGAAAGAGAAGAGAGACGGAAAUGACAAGGCAGCAUGAAGUCUGUUGCUGAGGAGACGUUUCACACACAAGAUCCAGAAUAACCAGCAAAACCCUAGGAGGAAGACCAGGCCCAGACUAUGAUUCUGAACACACCGUAGUAGCAGAUGAAGGGCUUCUGAGCAGUGCACGAGGCGGCCCCCAGGCUGGGGAAAAUGGCUAUUGAAUACAGAGUGGCACAGAGACCCUCAUCGAAGACGGAGGCGAGCUCCACACUGGCACGCUGAAGGUGGAGCCGCUGGACCAUCUCAGGCCCCCAAGGCGCACGUGGAAGAAGAGGGCGAUCCAGGCUGCGGUGCUGCUGAGGCCAAGAAGAUGCUGCCUGUCGCUGAGAGAAGUUGAAGGAUCCCUGGGCAGGAGAAAAGGAAUAGAAAGAAACUACGUUCUUGUGAUAUGUGAUUCAUUUUGAUAUUUGUUUAUCCUAUUCUGUUUAUUUUUAAAAAAUCAGUGGCUGUGGUCCACUAAAUUGACUUUAGGAUGUAAUGGGUCCCAACCCACAGUGUGAAAAACCUUGCUGCCCCAGCU
rnacentral:lncRNA from 1 species